rnacentral:rRNA from 1 species
CUAAACUGAGGAAAGUCGGCCGAAACUGAUCGACUCGAGGAACGUAGAGGGAAGCGGAACUCUCGGAGUAGCGGUGAAAUGCGUAGAGACCGAGAGGUACCCCGAUGGUGAAGACAGCUUCCUGGGCGUUUCCUGACGCUGAAGCGCUAAGGCCAGGGGAGCGAAGGGGAUUAGAUACCCCCGUAGUCCUGGCUUCAAACGAUGUGGGCUUGGUGUCGGCUCCCGACAGAGAGUCGUUGCCGGAGCUAACGUGUUAAGCCCACCGCCUGGGGAUUACGUCCGCAAGGAUGAAACUCAAGGGAAUUGACGGGGGCCCACACAACCGGUGGAGCACGUGGUUUAAUUCNAUGAUAAGCGAAGAACCUUACCNGGGCUUGACCUAGCGGUGGUAGGAUCCUGAAAGGGAAACGACCUCAAGCUUUGCUUGAGGAGCC